UACGUAGGGUGCAAGCGUUGUCCGGAAUUAUUGGGCGUAAAGGGCUCGUAGGCGGUUUGUCACGUCGGGAGUGAAAACUCGGGGCUUAACCCCGAGCCUGCUUCCGAUACGGGCAGACUAGAGGUAUGCAGGGGGAGAACGGAAUUCCUGGUGUAGCGGUGAAAUGCGCAGAUAUCAGGAGGAACACCGGUGGCGAAGGCGGUUCUCUGGGCAUUACCUGACGCUGAGGAGCGAAAGUGUGGGGAGCGAACAGG
rnacentral:rRNA from 1 species